AUUGAACGCUGGCGGCAUGCUUUACACAUGCAAGUCGAACGGUAACAGGGUGCUUGCACCGCUGACGAGUGGCGAACGGGUGAGUAAUGCGUCGGAACGUGCCGAGGAGUGGGGGAUAACGCAGCGAAAGUUGUGCUAAUACCGCAUACGUACUGAGGUAGAAAGUGGGGGACCUUCGGGCCUCACGCUAUUCGAGCGGCCGACGUCUGAUUAGCUAGUAGGUGAGGUAAAGGCUCACCUAGGCGACGAUCAGUAGCGGGUCUGAGAGGAUGAUCCGCCACACUGGGACUGAGACACGGCCCAGACUCCUACGGGAGGCAGCAGUGGGGAAUUUUGGACAAUGGGCGAAAGCCUGAUCCAGCCAUGCCGCGUGUCUGAAGAAGGCCUUCGGGUUGUAAAGGACUUUUGUCAGGGAGGAAAUCCCUAGUGCUAAUAACACUGGGGGAUGACAGUACCUGAAGAGUAAGCACCGGCUAACUACGUGCCAGCAGCCGCGGUAC
rnacentral:rRNA from 1 species